GGUUAAGCGACUAAGCGUACACGGUGGAUGCCCUGGCAGUCAGAGGCGAUGAAGGACGUGCUAAUCUGCGAUAAGCGUCGGUAAGGUGAUAUGAACCGUUAUAACCGGCGAUUUCCGAAUGGGGAAACCCAGUGUGAUUCGUCACACUAUCAUUAACUGAAUCCAUAGGUUAAUGAGGCGAACCGGGGGAACUGAAACAUCUAAGUACCCCGAGGAAAAGAAAUCAACCGAGAUUCCCCCAGUAGCGGCGAGCGAACGGGGAGCAGCCCAGAGCCUGAAUCAGUGUGUGUGUUAGUGGAAGCGUCUGGAAAGGCGCGCGAUACAGGGUGACAGCCCCGUACACAAAAAUGCACAUGCUGUGAGCUCGAUGAGUAGGGCGGGACACGUGGUAUCCUGUCUGAAUAUGGGGGGACCAUCCUCCAAGGCUAAAUACUCCUGACUGACCGAUAGUGAACCAGUACCGUGAGGGAAAGGCGAAAAGAACCCCGGCGAGGGGAGUGAAAAAGAACCUGAAACCGUGUACGUACAAGCAGUGGGAGCACAGAGCAAUCUGUGUGACUGCGUACCUUUUGUAUAAUGGGUCAGCGACUUAUAUUCUGUAGCAAGGUUAACCGAAUAGGGGAGCCGAAGGGAAACCGAGUCUUAACUGGGCGUUAAGUUGCAGGGUAUAGACCCGAAACCCGGUGAUCUAGCCAUGGGCAGGUUGAAGGUUGGGUAACACUAACUGGAGGACCGAACCGACUAAUGUUGAAAAAUUAGCGGAUGACUUGUGGCUGGGGGUGAAAGGCCAAUCAAACCGGGAGAUAGCUGGUUCUCCCCGAAAGCUAUUUAGGUAGCGCCUCGUGAAUUCAUCUCCGGGGGUAGAGCACUGUUUCGGCAAGGGGGUCAUCCCGACUUACCAACCCGAUGCAAACUACGAAUACCGGAGAAUGUUAUCACGGGAGACACACGGCGGGUGCUAACGUCCGUCGUGAAGAGGGAAACAACCCAGACCGCCAGCUAAGGUCCCAAAGUCAUGGUUAAGUGGGAAACGAUGUGGGAAGGCCCAGACAGCCAGGAUGUUGGCUUAGAAGCAGCCAUCAUUUAAAGAAAGCGUAAUAGCUCACUGGUCGAGUCGGCCUGCGCGGAAGAUGUAACGGGGCUAAACCAUGCACCGAAGCUGCGGCAGCGACGCUGAUGCGUUGUUGGGUAGGGGAGCGUUCUGUAAGCCUGCGAAGGUGUGCUGUGAGGCAUGCUGGAGGUAUCAGAAGUGCGAAUGCUGACAUAAGUAACGAUAAAGCGGGUGAAAAGCCCGCUCGCCGGAAGACCAAGGGUUCCUGUCCAACGUUAAUCGGGGCAGGGUGAGUCGACCCCUAAGGCGAGGCCGAAAGGCGUAGUCGAUGGGAAACAGGUUAAUAUUCCUGUACUUGGUGUUACUGCGAAGGGGGGACGGAGAAGGCUAUGUUGGCCGGGCGACGGUUGUCCCGGUUUAAGCGUGUAGGCUGGUUUUCCAGGCAAAUCCGGAAAAUCAAGGCUGAGGCGUGAUGACGAGGCACUACGGUGCUGAAGCAACAAAUGCCCUGCUUCCAGGAAAAGCCUCUAAGCAUCAGGUAACAUCAAAUCGUACCCCAAACCGACACAGGUGGUCAGGUAGAGAAUACCAAGGCGCUUGAGAGAACUCGGGUGAAGGAACUAGGCAAAAUGGUGCCGUAACUUCGGGAGAAGGCACGCUGAUAUGUAGGUGAAGUCCCUCGCGGAUGGAGCUGAAAUCAGUCGAAGAUACCAGCUGGCUGCAACUGUUUAUUAAAAACACAGCACUGUGCAAACACGAAAGUGGACGUAUACGGUGUGACGCCUGCCCGGUGCCGGAAGGUUAAUUGAUGGGGUCAGCGCAAGCGAAGCUCUUGAUCGAAGCCCCGGUAAACGGCGGCCGUAACUAUAACGGUCCUAAGGUAGCGAAAUUCCUUGUCGGGUAAGUUCCGACCUGCACGAAUGGCGUAAUGAUGGCCAGGCUGUCUCCACCCGAGACUCAGUGAAAUUGAACUCGCUGUGAAGAUGCAGUGUACCCGCGGCAAGACGGAAAGACCCCGUGAACCUUUACUAUAGCUUGACACUGAACAUUGAGCCUUGAUGUGUAGGAUAGGUGGGAGGCUUUGAAGUGUGGACGCCAGUCUGCAUGGAGCCGACCUUGAAAUACCACCCUUUAAUGUUUGAUGUUCUAACGUGGACCCGUAAUCCGGGUUGCGGACAGUGUCUGGUGGGUAGUUUGACUGGGGCGGUCUCCUCCUAAAGAGUAACGGAGGAGCACGAAGGUUGGCUAAUCCUGGUCGGACAUCAGGAGGUUAGUGCAAUGGCAUAAGCCAGCUUGACUGCGAGCGUGACGGCGCGAGCAGGUGCGAAAGCAGGUCAUAGUGAUCCGGUGGUUCUGAAUGGAAGGGCCAUCGCUCAACGGAUAAAAGGUACUCCGGGGAUAACAGGCUGAUACCGCCCAAGAGUUCAUAUCGACGGCGGUGUUUGGCACCUCGAUGUCGGCUCAUCACAUCCUGGGGCUGAAGUAGGUCCCAAGGGUAUGGCUGUUCGCCAUUUAAAGUGGUACGCGAGCUGGGUUUAGAACGUCGUGAGACAGUUCGGUCCCUAUCUGCCGUGGGCGCUGGAGAACUGAGGGGGGCUGCUCCUAGUACGAGAGGACCGGAGUGGACGCAUCACUGGUGUUCGGGUUGUCAUGCCAAUGGCACUGCCCGGUAGCUAAAUGCGGAAGAGAUAAGUGCUGAAAGCAUCUAAGCACGAAACUUGCCCCGAGAUGAGUUCUCCCUGACUCCUUGAGAGUCCUGAAGGAACGUUGAAGACGACGACGUUGAUAGGCCGGGUGUGUAAGCGCAGCGAUGCGUUGAGCUAACCGGUACUAAUGAACCGUGAGGCUUAACCUU
rnacentral:rRNA from 1 species